rnacentral:snRNA from 1 species
CCAGUUUCUGGCCUUUUGGCUAAGAUCAAGUGUAGUAUCUGUUCUUAUCAGUGGAGGGGUACAUCCUAGCUAAGGGAUGUACAUCAGGUACUCUUC